rnacentral:rRNA from 1 species
UACGUAGGGCGCAAGCGUUGUCCGGAAUUAUUGGGCGUAAAGAGCUCGUAGGCGGCCAGUUGCGUCUGCUGUGAAAUCCCGGGGCUCAACCCCGGGCGUGCAGUGGAUACGGGCUGGCUAGAGGCCGGCAGGGGAGAACGGAAUUCCCGGUGUAGCGGUGAAAUGCGCAGAUAUCGGGAGGAACACCGGUGGCGAAGGCGGUUCUCUGGGCCUGUACUGACGCUGAGGAGCGAAAGCGUGGGGAGCGAACAGG